rnacentral:tRNA from 2 species
GCCCUCGUAGCUCAAUGGAUAGAGCAACCGCCUCCUAAGCGGUAGAUUCCGGUUCGAGUCCGGGCGGGGGUA